AGAAGACAACAACAACAACAACAACUAUGCCAUCAACUCCACUUCUGACUGAUGAAGAUACGACGACAACAAAGAAACAAAGAGGCAACAAACACAACAAGAAGAGAUAUUAACACAAUAUGAAAAGAAUGAGAAGAUGAAGAAUCUGAGAACAUAUAAUGUUUGUAUUUGUCUGCCCCAAACAGAAGGUAACAGGACAACAACAACAACAACAGGAACAAUGACAACAGGAACAACAGGAACAGGAACAAUUUCAGCAACACCAAUAACGCAGGCCAACACACGUACAAUAAUAAUAAUCACAACAUUUAAAAACACUUUUAAACACUCUGCCUUGUUUCUAAACUAAUUCUUACUUUGUCCUCCGGUUGGUGGUUCGGUGUUUGGAAUACUCGCCUUCUUCUACCUCCUCCUCAUCAUCAUCAUCAUCGGCAUCAGCUACUUCGCUUGGAGACGCAGGUUUAAAAGACGAGGAAGUGCAGAAAGACGCCCCGGCGUCUACGACGAGGUCUGGGACUCGUCUGCGGUUCCGCCCGCAAAUGGAGGAGGAAGCUUGGCUGAACCAACCUACUGCGUGACAGAUGAUUUUCCAGAUCCCAUGUACUCCACCAUCGCCGAUCUUCCACCAGCGGAGGAGCAAAGCGGUGAAGACUGAGCGCUCAUCCCCACAUCGGAGCUGAUGUUCUGGUUCCUGAACGUAUCCAUUCAACAUCGUCUGUUGGUGGGAUUGAAGACGGUCGGUCGCAGCUCCCCGACAGCACGUACUUUCUACUGGAGGAACCCAAAGCACCCGGAAACACCGCGGACCAACAUCUGUGAUUUUAACUCAAAAGUUCUCGUUUUAUAUAGUCAAGUUUAUUAAAUAGCACAGAAAUAAAAAAUAUGCCUCCUCUGGUUGUAUAGAAGUCUAUGCUUCAUGUGUUAAAGCUGCAUUCUCUCUCCUGACCACCAGGGGGCGACUCCUCUGGUUGUAUAGAAGUCUAUGCUUCAUGUGUUAAAGCUGCAUUCUCUCUCAUGGCCACCAGGGGGCGACUCCUCUGGUUGUAUAGAAGUCUAUGCUUCAUGUGUUAAAGCUGCAUUCUCUCUCAUGGCCACCAGGGGGCGACUACUCUGGUUGUAUAGAAGUCUAUGCUUCAUGUGUUAAAGCUGCAUUCUCUCUCAUGGCCACCAGGGGGCGACUCCUCUGGUUGUAUAGAAGUCUAUGCUUCAUGUGUUAAAGCUGCAUUCUCUCUCAUGGCCACCAGGGGGCGACUGCUCUGGACCAGGAGGAAGGUCUCAGGGUGUCUGGUGGAGGAUGGCAGGCAUGUUAUAUUUUGAUGAACAAUAAGACAAAUACAAUGUAAAUACUUCAGUAUUUCAGUGUCACAAUCUGUAGUUUGUAGAUUCUGAGCUGUUGAUGUAAAUAAUGUUUUAAUUUUGUUUUAAGAAAAUAAAGCAUGCCUUCCCUCAA